CACACAGCAAUUGUAUAACAAAGAAACAGCAUAAUGGAUAGAAGUCUAGACUUGGAAUAAAAAAACCUUGGGUUCAAAUCCGGUCCCUAAUAUUUACUCUCCUAGGCAAGUGAAUAUUUCUGUGUGCCUCAAGCAACUCCCUUGGACUUAUCUACUGAGUAAAAUAAAUUUUGGCUCUAGGUAGAGAAAGCUUUAGUAUGGAGCUUUCCCACACUGGGGAAAUCACAGAUCCUUGUAUUUGCAUACUGGGUCAGCAAAUGCAUGAAUGAGACCUUUGCAGAACUGCCAACAUUCAUUUGUUAUAUAACAAACCCUAUAAUUCUAAAAAAGGGGAAAAGUCCAUACAGACAUACGCAUUUACAGACCAAUGUGCAGAAUGAAAACUCACUGGCUGCCUCAUCCUGCUUCUCAGAAAAAGACUUAAUAACAGAGCACUAGCUCAUAAUACUGUGCCUUUGUUAUUUUUAGUAAAUAUACAAGAGCUCAUUUGGUAGAUUCCCAGGAAAUGCUAUAAUUAGAAUUAAAAAUCCUUCUCACAGCAAAUGAGCCAAGUACACUUCAGAAUGAAGUGCGGCUCAGGUCAUGUUUUCUUUACAUAUCCCUCAGCAUUUUAUAAUGGCAAAGUGCUCAGAAAUAAGAUUAUUGGAAGACCCUCCAAACGUCCCCAUUUGAAAGAUGAAAAAACAAAGGAAGAUUUAUUUAAUGUCAGGCUAUUAAAGGGGUGUGAUCUCAAGACUCUUCAUUAUAUUGAACACUCCGGAUCAUCAAAGUCCUUCCUAAAAUGUGUCAUCCAGAACUAAAUACAAUGUGCAAUAUGUGUCCUGAUGAGAGCAGAGUGUCAGGAGAUUAUGACCUCCUCAAUAUUGAAUAUUCUCCUCUUCUUAAUAUAAGCCCAUAACAUUUUUGAAGCUCUAUCAUAUUUAGUUAGCAUAUUUAUUUUGCUUUCAGAUAACUAACCACCCUACACCUCCUGUUGUCCAGCCAUGACUCUACCAUCUUGUACUUGCAAAAUGUAGUGUUUUUUUUUUUUUAACUUAAAGGCACAUCUCACUUUGGUUCCUGUUAAAUGAUAUUAAAAAUGAGCCAAAAAAUUCAGCCAAUGUCCAUUCUGAUA
rnacentral:lncRNA from 1 species